GACGAACGCUGGCGGCGUGCUUAACACAUGCAAGUCGAACGGAAAGGCCCUGCUUUUGUGGGGUGCUCGAGUGGCGAACGGGUGAGUAACACGUGAGUAACCUGCCCUUGACUUUGGGAUAACUUCAGGAAACUGGGGCUAAUACCGGAUAGGAGCUCCUGCUGCAUGGUGGGGGUUGGAAAGUUACGGCGGUUGGGGAUGGACUCGCGGCUUAUCAGCUUGUUGGUGGGGUAGUGGCUUACCAAGGCUUUGACGGGUAGCCGGCCUGAGAGGGUGACCGGCCACAUUGGGACUGAGAUACGGCCCAGACUCCUACGGGAGGCAGCAGUGGGGAAUAUUGCACAAUGGGCGGAAGCCUGAUGCAGCAACGCCGCGUGCGGGAUGAUGGCCUUCGGGUUGUAAACCGCUUUCGCCUGUGACGAAGCGUGAGUGACGGUAAUGGGUAAAGAAGCACCGGCUAACUACGUG
rnacentral:rRNA from 1 species